CCUACGGGUGGCAGCAGUGGGGAAUAUUGGACAAUGGGCGAAAGCCUGAUCCAGCCAUGCCGCGUGUGUGAAGAAGGCCUUCGGGUUGUAAAGCACUUUCAGUGGGGAAGAAAGCCUUGGGGCUAAUACCCUCGAGGAAGGACAUCACCCACAGAAGAAGCACCGGCUAACUCCGUGCCAGCAGCCGCGGUAAUACGGAGGGUGCGAGCGUUAAUCGGAAUUACUGGGCGUAAAGCGCGCGUAGGCGGUCUGAUAAGCCGGUUGUGAAAGCCCCGGGCUCAACCUGGGAACGGCAUCCGGAACUGUCAGGCUAGAGUGCAGGCGAGGAAGGUAGAAUUCCCGGUGUAGCGGUGAAAUGCGUAGAGAUCGGGAGGAAUACCAGUGGCGAAGGCGGCCUUCUGGACUGACACUGACGCUGAGGUGCGAAAGCGUGGGUAGCAAACAGGAUUAGAUACCCUUGUAGUC
rnacentral:rRNA from 1 species